rnacentral:ncRNA from 1 species
AUAAAGUUUAAUUUUAGCUUGAAAAAUUAAUUUAAUUUUUUUAAUUUACAUGUAAAUUUUUUUGUGUUGAUUAACUUUAAUUUUAAUAAUUAGGUUAAUAAAAAUUAUUCGCAGUAUAUAAUUUUAAUAAUUUAAGAAAUUAAGAAUUAUAAAUAAAUUUUAAUAUUAACAAAUUUUGUGCCAGCAGUUGCGGUUAUACAAAAAAUAUAAAUUAAUUUUAUUAGUAAAUAAUUAUAUGUUAUUAUAUUUAAAUUAAAAUUAUAUUUAUUAGGUGAAAUUUUAAAUAUAAAUAUAUUUAUAUAAAAUAUUUAAUAAUUAUGAAAUUUUUAUUUAAACUAGGAUUAGAUACCCUAUUAUUUAAAAUGUAAAUUUAUUUUACUUAAGUAGUAUUAGUUAUGAUCUUGAAAUUUAAAAAUUUUGGCGGUAUUUUAGUCUAUUUAGAGGAACCUGUUCUGUAAUUGAUAGUCCACGAUUAACUUUACUUUUAUUAAAAAAUUUGUAUACCGUUGUUAUAAGAAAAUUUUAUAAGAAUUUUAAAUUUUUAAUAUUUUAAAUUAAAAAAUAUAUCAGAUCAAGGUACAGUUAUAUAAAAGAAGAAAUGGGUUACAAUAAAUUUAUUUAUUAUGGAUUAAAAAUUUAAAAUUUUUAUGAAAGUGGAUUUAAUAGUAAUUAAGUUUAUAUAAAUUUAAUGAUUUUAGCUCUAAAAUAUGUACAUAUCGCCCGUCACUCUUAUUAUAAAAUAAGAUAAGUCGUAACAUAGUAGAUGUACUGGAAAGUGUAUCUAGAAUGAC